rnacentral:misc_RNA from 1 species
UGUGGCAGUGGCACCUUGCAAUGGA